rnacentral:rRNA from 1 species
AAUGGGUCAGCGACUUAUAUUCUGUAGCAAGGUUAACCGAAUAGGGGAGCCGAAGGGAAACCGAGUCUUAACUGGGCGUUAAGUUGCAGGGUAUAGACCCGAAACCCGGUGAUCUAGCCAUGGGCAGGUUGAAGGUUGGGUAACACUAACUGGAGGACCGAACCGACUAAUGUUGAAAAAUUAGCGGAUGACUUGUGGCUGGGGGUGAAAGGCCAAUCAAACCGGGAGAUAGCUGGUUCUCCCCGAAAGCUAUUUAGGUAGCGCCUCGUGAAUUCAUCUCCGGGGGUAGAGCACUGUUUCGGCAAGGGGGUCAUCCCGACUUACCAACCCGAUGCAAACUGCGAAUACCGGAGAAUGUUAUCACGGGAGACACACGGCGGGUGCUAACGUCCGUCGUGAAGAGGGAAACAACCCAGACCGCC